AUUAUUUUAAAAUAAUAUGGACAGCAGGGUCCUACCUUUAUUUACAUACAAAUACAAAAUCCACGUUUAUAUACAAAAUACAGGCAAAACGCUCCAGCGGAACUUUAAUUAGUGGUUAUCUCUAGGGGCUGGGAAUCUAAUUUGGCACAAUUUAAUUUCUUUGUAAGUUCAUACAUUUUAAGGUUUCUGCCUGGUAAUCACAAAAGCAGAGAAAGGAAAACCUUUUACUGAGCUGAGCAAUGCCUGUAGAAGCCCUGCUUAGUAGGAGUUCCAAGAUGCUCUGUGUAUCUCAGGUGAAGCACACCUAAAUAAUUGAGCACUGCAUUAAGGCUCAGAAACGUAGUACCGUUGUGUGCUUCUCUGCCAAAAGGCAGCUAUUUUUAUGACAGAAAACACAGCAGCUGUUUUCACAGGUGCAGGGCAGCAGUACAUGGGAAGUUGGUCCCAGCAGAGAAGGAUAUGGUGUCUCUUUAAAACUGGAGGAGGAAGAGGCAGAAAAUGGUGAGCCCCAGUUGAAAUCUGCAAGAGAGAAGGAGGAAGCCCUGGUUUGGAGAAAAACGGGCUCCAGAUGGCUGGGCUACAUUUGUCCUGUGAAAAUCAAAAGCCUGGGACCCAGCCGCUGGGAUACGAGGGCUCUGGUCUUGCUUUAACAGCCAGGGGGACUUUUGGCUUGUUACAAAAAUUGGAAUUUGGAUCUGCAAGAUACGCUAGCCAUCACCCUUAAUUGACAAAUGAGGAAACCAAAGCCGGAGAGGGUAAUUUACUCAAGGUCAUUAAGGUCAGUGCUCUUGUCAAUAAAAUUAGGAUAUUGCUCACAUACUUCAUACUGCUUUUGUUACACACACACACACACACACACGCACACACAGAGCCAAUGUAUGGAAACAUCCCUGAGAAUAUAUAAUGUCAUCACAUUUACUAUUCAAAUUAGCAUCAACUGGUCAAAUAUUUAUUCAGGUAGUAACUUACUCAACAUUUCUAUCUUGACAUCCCCCAGUACAACUUAAUACAAUGCCCCAAUCCCCACAGGACAGGACAACACUCUCUCUCGCUCUCUCUCUUCCUUAAGAAUAGUGAGAUGUGGCCAGGCGCGGUGGCUCACUCCUGUAAUCCCAGCACUUUGGGAGGCCGAGGUGGGCGGAUCACGAGGUCAGGAGAUCGAGACCAUCCUGGCUACUAACACGGUGAAACCCCGUCUCUACUAAAAAUACAAAAAUUAGCUGGGCACGGUGGCGGGCGCCUGUAGUCCCAGCUACUCGGGAGGCUGAGGCAGGAGAAUGGCGUGAACCCAGGAGGCAGAGCUUGCAGCGAGCCCAGAUCGUGCCACUGCACUCCAGCCUGGGCGAUGGAACGAGAAUCCGUUUCAAAAAAAAAAGAAUAGUGAGAUGUGACCAACAUAGCCUGGAAUCUUAAAUUACUGAUAAUGGUGAUUUCUCAUUUAGACAACACUUUUUUCCCCUCCUCAGACAGGGUCUCACUCUGUGGCCCAGGUUGGAGCACACUGGCGCAAUGACGGCUCACUGCAGCCUUGACCUCCUGGACUCAAGCCAUCCUCCCGCCUCAGCCUCCUGAGUAGCUGGGACUACAGGUGUGCACUACCAUGCCUGGCUCCUUUUUUUUAUUUUUUGUAGAGACAGGGUCUCCCUAUGUUGCUCAGGCUGGUCUCGAAUUCUGGGCUCAAGCAAUCCUCUCACCUUGGCCUCCCAAAGUGCUGGGAUUACAGGUGUGAGCCACCACACCCGGCUGCCAACACCACUUUCGAUUUUGGGAUAAUCUGGGUGCACAGUGAUCAGAAGCUUACCUACCCCACGUUGCAUAAAAAAAAGUAUGAAUUUAAAAAUUCCAAGAGUAAACUACCCUAUGAAAACCUCUGGCAGUGCUGAUGAAAACACAUUUCUGGUAGUGAUAUGUCUUGGUCCCUCUGGUCUCACAGAAUGUGUAGUCCUGAGAAAAAAUAAACCUGGACUCUUGGUAAAAUAUUUGAAUAAUUAACUGCUUUGCUCAUUGGUUGUAACUGGCAAGUCAUUCUCUUUACUACAUUAAAGUCUGCACUUUCAUUUUACAGACAGUCCUACAGUUCAACUCCAACAUCAGGGACUGAGUCGUACACAGGAAGAUCACUGAGUAGGUUCUGUGGAGACGCAGUCGGCCCAUAUGCACGUCACCACUCGGCUCCCAGCUCAGGUGCAGACCAACGGCGACCACUUGCUCCACUUUGCUCUGUGACAGCAGACGAGGUAAGGCAUGUUGCAGAUACAUGCUGAAUAUAGGGAUGCCUGUACACAAAACUGCACUCAUGCUGUGAUAACACGCAAAAGGUCACACACUGGAAGAGCCUUGCCCAACGAACGAUAGACUAACAGGCCAGAGGCGGGGAAAGCUUCUCGGAGUCCCACUAUCUUCUUUGUUUUUAUUGCUCCUACUUACUUAUGUGAUACCUUUUUAGUAGAAUGACUAGUUUUCUAAACAGAACCUGUAAUGACAGGCUCACAUUUCUUCCUCAACUCCCACCUCCAAAGCCACUCCAUUCAAAGAACUGCUGGUGAGGUGCUGGGGAGUCAAUCCGUCGUAGAGGGGAAGCGUUCUACCCCUCCAGAUCCUUCUGCAGACAGGAGGGUGUCUGCAUUCGGCGGAGUCCAAGAGUGCGGUGAGGACACAGUGGCAAAGGAAUAAUGCCAUUCCUUGAGGCAGCGCUGGGCUAGUAGAGACCUGUGAGGAAGUAAUGUGUCCUGUGGGGAUUUCAGGGUAAUUUAAUCAGCAGCACUUCAGCAGGGUAGAAAGCAAGGGCGGGGAAAAAUAAUGAAGUCAGCACUCAGCUACCAGGAGCUCCUCUGUUCAAUCUAACGGGGAGAUAUGACCCCAGAGCAGGGCUUCCCUCCCUCCACCCGGCUCCCACUUCCAGCCAGGUAAUUCUGUGUCGUGGGGGCUGUUGGGCACCAUCCCUGGCCUCCCUCCACGAGUGCCCACAGUACUGCCCUCCUCCCCACCUGUGACAAAAAUGUCUCCAGACAUUGCCAAAUGUUCCCUGGGGGGCAAAAUUGCCCCUGUUGAGCACCACUGCCCUAGAUGAACUGGAAAAGUUGGUUUGUGAAUAUGUGAGCUUAGUUGUUUCUAACACAGGGCUGAAAAACAAGAGAAGGGGACAAAGGCUGCUUUCAUAUAAAAAUGUACUGUAGUAAUCAGUAAGAAAAAGAAACAACAUUGGCUAAGUCACGAAUAGGCAUUUCACCAUAUGUACAUGAUAAAUGGCCAAUCAAAAUAAGGAAUGGGGCUCAUUCUGCUGGAAAUUAAAUACAUUCAAACAAGAACAGAGAUCCAUUAGCAAAAUGUUUAAAAAUAAUAUCACAGGGUUACCAGGGGUAUGACAAAAAUGGACACUUCCAUACACACUAGGUGAAUAUAUUGGUGAAAAUAGUUCAGAUAAACAUACAACCAAGAGCUCUGUAAUUCCUACCCUUCCAACCUCAGGAGCCCACCCACCCCUAUCCGAGCCGACCCCUGACUGCCCCUGCCAUUGCUCCCUGCUGAGUUGCAGACAUUGACUUCUUGCCAAGCCUCAGGCCUUGCUCACAUCGACACCUCACAGUGACCCUGAGAGGCAGAUGCUGUGACCCCAUUUCACAGAUGAAGGGCCUGAGCCACAGAGGAGGAAGACUGCCUCAGCCACGCCGCUAGUAAGUGGUAGUUCCCAACUCUAGAGUCCCAAAAGAAUUCUGUCCUACUUAUGAAAAGUAUAUCCAAUAAGCAGUACCUCCCUGUGUUUACAACUUAUCUGCUGAUCCCAAGGAUGGGAAAAGCUGCACUCAGAAACUUGCAAAUUGUGCAACUGUUCCCCACGAUUCCCUUGGGGCCAGUGCCGACUGAGGCAUCUCCAGGAGGCCCCAGUUGGGCUUGGGGACAUGCUGAGAGGUGACAGCACUGCUCUCAAGUCAUAUCCUCUGCUUCUGCAAAAGCUGUGGAGCUCACCCAUCAAUAGCAGCUCCAUGCCGGGCGCAGUGGCUCACGCCUGUAAUCCCAGCACUUUCGGAGGCUCAGGCGGGCAGAUCAUCUGAGGUCAGGAGUCCGUGACCAGCCUGGCCAACAUGGUGAAACCCCGUCUCUACUAAAAGUACAAAAACUUAGCUGGGUGUGGUGGUGUACGCCUGUGAUCCCAGCUACUCAGGAGGCUGAGGCAGGAGAAUUGCUUGAACCCAGGAGGGGGAGGUUGCAGUGAGCUGAGAUCACGCCAUUGCACUCCAGCCUGAGCAACAGAGCAAGACUCCAUCGCAAAAAAAAAAAAAAAAAAAAAAGGCUCUAGCAUUGCCAGAUCCCAGGCCCUGUGGAAGGUAUUUCCCUCCCUCUUUUGUCCUUGCUUGUCUCAGAGCCCUUUUCACAGUCUCUUGUGUGCUUCUUUCCCUGUUAGGACCAAUCUUUACAACUCCAGCAAGCGCAGCAAAUAAGAUGCAGAACUGGGGGAGAUGCAACGUAUGACUCAAUUCCCUUGAGCCGAAAACACUCACUUAUUAACAAUAUUUUUUUCUUUUUUUUGAGACAGAGUCUCACAAAAACAGGCACACGCCCCCACACCCGGCUAAUUUUUGUAUUUUUAGUAUAGAUGGGGUUUCACCAUAUUGGUCAGGCUGGUCUGAACUCCUGCCUUCAGGUGAUCCACCUGCCUCAGCCUUCCAAAGUGCUGGGAUUACAGGCAUAAGCCACCACGCCCCACCAAUGAAAUGUUUUCUAAAGGUGUUUUCAUCCCUUUUGUGAUCUCCUAAACUCCCAAGGUGUAUCACACACUUCGCUGGGCUCUGGGCAAACAAAACUUAGACAAGGUCCCUGAUUCUAGAAACCCUCGGUCGAGGGAACCACAAACCAACCAGAGUGGAGGGCAGGGAGAGGUCCUAGGUUGGGAGCUGGGAGCCUGGAGCACGUGCCAGGUGCUCUGCAGCCCAGCUUCAUUAUGGAGGCUCAAGCGCUGUGAAUUUCCAAAAACAGUGAACACACCCCUAGCUGAUUGAAAUACAAAAAACAUAUUCCACAGCCAAAUGAAAAUGACUUUUGGAUCCUCCACCUAAUUUGGGUGUUUAUGCCGCCUCGCCCCUCUUUUGGCCUGGACAAUUGAAAUAUAUCUGCUCUCAGGGGAGACGCCCACGGUGUCAGGGCUGGAGUUGGCAAGAGACAGGGGGAAGAGGACUAGACCUGGAGUCAGAGAUGAAGUUCUUGUCUGGGAUCUGUCACUAAGUCUCAGCGGGGACCCAGGAAGUCACUCCACCUCUCAUAGUUCCUCAUCCACAAAGUGGAAAUACAAGCAAGUUUAAUUCUCCAUCGUAAGGUUGGAGCUCCUGUCUGUGAAAGGACUGGAAAUGUAAAAUGCGCUCUUCAAGUACAAAGGCAGAGAGGAUCCAUAAACAGGCACAGGCUGCCCUUUGGUAUAAACUGUUCACAUUAAAUCUAUGUUAUGUU
rnacentral:lncRNA from 1 species